CAAAUGAGGAAGCUUGUGUGUAUGUCUAAGAAUAAUACUGGCAUCUACACGUACAUAUAGUAUGUGUAUUUGCAUCCACAAGAAAAACUCUGCAGUUGUGAAGGUAUUAGUAAUAUUUUUCCCACACUUUGUCAAAUAGACAUUAAUGGAAUUGGGGAAUGCAAAACACUUAAUCUCAUUCAAAUGCAAAUGUUUAAAACUGUUUCCAGUUGUAUCAGAAUAUGUGACCAUGAUUGAAAAAUUUUCAAAUUGCCAGAGUUAGCAACAACAAAUUAUUUCCAUUGUUUGGAAAUGAUCCUAAAAAUGCAAUAUAUACUUGUGAAAGAUCUCUAUGUGGAGCUCCACUGACUCAUGAGAUUUUACUCAUCUAAAGUAAAUAUUAGGAAUAAGGAUAUAAGGGCAUGGGGAAAACUUAAAAGUAGUCAGGCUUCUUCUGAAAUGUUACCACUAUUGCUGUUACAGUCAGUGUUGCACAGCACAUGACAAAACCUCAAAUUUUUAUAACUUAAGUACAUUAUUCCUUUGAAUAACCAGUGGCUAAUAACUAACUUGGAGGUUUUGUCACUUAGCUUUCUCCCCCUUCCAAUUAGAUCUAUUAACAUAAUUUAUUAUUCUAUUACUGUACUUCUAUUCUAACAAUAAAAUCUAUUAAUAAAAAUCUGUUGGAUUAUUAUUAGAAUUUAUUGCUACCAGAUACAGUUACUGCCAAAUCAUUUCUAAAUGUUUUGCUACCACGAAUGCACGUGCCAGUGUUGAUCAGGUUUCUUCAGUGGUUUUAAAUCACAGGCAUACCUGAUAUGAAAAACAGCUACUGCUCUUUUAAAUGAAAUAUUCAUAUUGAUUUGUUUUUUUGAAGUGAUGCCAAUUCAGCGUUUGCUGUAGUGGGAUCAGUAAAACUGUACUGGGAUACUGUCAAGUCAAGACAAGGUAGAUGCUUUGAUAGCAUGAAAAGAAAAGUGGUUUGUGUUUAUCUACCAAGGCACAUUUGGAAGUUAAGACCAAAUAAAUCAGUGUAGACAAGUACAAGCCUAAAGCGUAUCUUACUGUGUCAAAACCAUGGUCAUAAAAUGACAAACAUUAACACAAAGAUCUCUGGUGCAAAGUUGAAACAAUGUUGUGAUUAAUUAUAUUGCCAGCAAUACAAGGAAAUAAACAUUGACCAAGUGAGAGUAGUUUCUGAAGGCAGACAUCUCCAUCUUGACUUGUCUUAGAAAUGCCUGUAAAGGUACAAUUGAAGUGACACUUGAUUUUUUAUCAAACCGGUUUUCUUAAGUUAUCGGAGAGUGAAUGAAUAGGUGGGUAAUGGAGGUACUGAAUUUGCUGAAAAUUUCCACUAGAAUUUUUAGAUUGUUUUACUAUGAGUAAUUUCUGUUCUUUCUGCACAAUUCUUACUUCAAAGCUAAGCCAGUUCUAACUGAACUGCAGGAAAAGCCUUCAGAGUUUCUACAAGAAGAUGCAGCUACUUUUCAGAGUUCUCCCCAGUGCACAGCCACAAAACGGAUGGUGAUCUCUGUCUCCCAUAAAGAGCUCCUACCACAUGCUUGUCCUCACUCAGCAGCCUUGGCAGCGAUGGCCAUGGACAUCUGACUUCCCACCACAACUCCUCCAGAACCGCCUGUAUUCCUCGACACCACCUCCUGUGGUGGGAGCCGGCAUGUGCCACGCGCCUGUGCAGGGUGCGCGUGACCGGAGGGCGAGAAAAAGCUGGAACUCCAGG